CCUACGGGGGGCAGCAGUGGGGAAUAUUGCACAAUGGGGGAAACCCUGAUGCAGCGACGCCGCGUGAGUGAAGAAGUCUUUCGGUAUGUAAAGCUCUAUCAGCAGGGAAGAAAAUGACGGUACCUGAUUAAGAAGCCCCGGCUAACUACGUGCCAGCAGCCGCGGUAAUACGUAGGGGGCACGCGUUAUCCGGAUGUACUGGGUGUAAAGGGAGCGUGGACGGCAGCACAAGUCUGGAGUGAAAUGCCGGGGCUUAACCCCGGAACUGCUUUGGAAACUGUGCAGUUAGAGUGCAGGAGAGGUAAGUGGAAUUCCUAGUGUAGCGGUGAAAUGCAUAGAUAUCACGAGGAACCCCGAUUGCGAAGGCAGCCUGCCGGGGUGCGACUGACGCUGAGGCUCGAAGGUGCGGGUAGCAAACAGGAUUAGAUACCCUAGUAGUC
rnacentral:rRNA from 1 species